AAUGCACCAAUUUGUAUGUCACUCUGGAUAAGAGCGUCUGCUAAAUGACGUAAA
rfam:Salmo salar isolate Sally breed double haploid chromosome ssa18, whole genome shotgun sequence.